AGACACUGUGUUAUUGGCAAGGUACAAAACACUCAAUGCAUGUAAGUUGCACAGUUCUCCUUGUAUUGGACCUUCUAAGAGAUUUGAUUCAAGGAAAAGAAAUGUUAAAUUGGACAAUUGUCCCAGGGAUGACGGAAUUGGGCCUGAGAGGUUAUUGUCUCCAAGAUCUAACGUAACUAAAAUUUUCAAAUUUCCUAAUUUGGGAGGAAUGGAAUCAUUGAUUUGAUUAUAUGAAAGAAUCAAUUUCUGUAAAUGGGUCAAAUGACUUAAAGAUGAA
rnacentral:misc_RNA from 1 species